rnacentral:lncRNA from 1 species
UCCUGAAGGUCUGCCUGCUCAGGUCAUGGGUACUCUGAUAGAGACGUGGAGUAUUAACAGCACAGAUACACAUAAACUAAUGGAAAGGAGCUCCCUCUGAAAACCCACAGCGGACAGCUACCAUGUUCUAGAUGCCCAUUUUAGUUCUUCAGAAAGCACAGUUGUCUCUUCUGGAUUCAGAACUCCAUCUCCAGCAUCAUGAUCUACAGAGAACCGGACACAAAACAAAACAAGCAAACACCCGUCUUCUGAAAAUCAGGUUGCUUCUUUUAAACUGCCUUAGGUCACGUCAGCUCUGUGUUCCUGAGCAUCAAGGCUGAGCGGCUACACUGAAGCUGAAACAGACCCAGCCAGCAGUGACAGAACUGCCUCUGUCUGGGCACUAGCAUCCUCUCAGGAGUUGUUUAGACUUCCAGCCCUCCUCUUCUCCAGUUCAUGAAACAGAUGUAGAACUCUCAGCUACUUCUCCAGCUACCUCUCUUGCUUCCAUGCUGUCAUUUUUCUGGCUAUGAUGAUAAUGGACUGAACCUCUGAACAUGUAAGCCAGCCCCGAUUAAAUGUUCUCCUUUGU